rnacentral:rRNA from 1 species
ACUCCUACGGGAGGCAGCAGUGGGGAAUAUUGCACAAUGGGCGCAAGCCUGAUGCAGCCAUGCCGCGUGUAUGAAGAAGGCCUUCGGGUUGUAAAGUACUUUCAGCAGUGAGGAAGGCGGGUGUGUUAAUAGCGCAUUCGUUUGACGUUAGCUGCAGAAGAAGCACCGGCUAACUCCGUGCCAGCAGCCGCGGUAAUACGGAGGGUGCGAGCGUUAAUCGGAAUUACUGGGCGUAAAGCGCAUGCAGGUGGUUUGUUAAGUCAGAUGUGAAAGCCCGGGGCUCAACCUCGGAAUUGCAUUUGAAACUGGCAGACUAGAGUACUGUAGAGGGGGGUAGAAUUUCAGGUGUAGCGGUGAAAUGCGUAGAGAUCUGAAGGAAUACCGGUGGCGAAGGCGGCCCCCUGGACAGAUACUGACACUCAGAUGCGAAAGCGUGGGGAGCAAACAGG